rnacentral:lncRNA from 1 species
AAGCAGGAAAGUGGUUGUAUGCAAAGAUGGAUGGAUGUCAUGAUUAUAAACUGGGGAUCGAUUAAGAAUUUGGCAAGGUGCUUUUGGGGUUUCAAUCCAUUGAAGGCUGCAUCCGGUGUGACAGUAAUGGCACCAGGGCCAGGAGAACAGGAGAGAAGUCAUGAUGUCUGCACAAAGCAGACAGUCCUGCCUGACUUGGAAGGUUUUACAUUGUCGCUCAGAGCCUCAGUUCUCUUGUCUCUAAAAUAAAGAUAAUUCUAAACGUCACAGUAGUUACCUAAUGUGUGAUAAUGUGUGGGGAAAUGCUUUGUUAAUUCUGAAAUACUGCAUAAAAUAGACUUUUUUAUCAUGGAAAUACAGACUGUUUCAUAAUCCUAGACUAUUUUAGGGAAACUCGGAAAAGGAAGCCUUUAUUUAACUAUUUUCCCUUUCUCUUGAUUCCCUUUGUAGAAUGAGGCACUGCAUAAAUAUAUAAAUAACUUCCUCCUCCCAAAUAAGUGGUAUUUUAAAAAUUUAAUAGAGAAUAAGGACAGGGAAAUUGCUGCAGAACAAAAGCAGUCAGCAAGUGGGAAAAAAGUCUUUUUAAAAAGGCUUUUGAACUAUUGUGAUUGAAAAAAAAUAUAUGUGAUUUGAAAAAACAUAUAUGUGAUUUGAAAAAAAAAUAUGAAGACGUUUUUACAGUAAUGAUACAAGUUUGAAGCAAUAAGUAGACAAUGCAAAAUUUUAGCUUAUGGUGCACUGUUUUUCUUCACGAGCUUGAUUUUUUAGCAUAGCUUAGAUUUACAGAAAAGUGUAAAUAUAGUCUACAAAGUUCCCCUAUACUCAGUACCCAGUUUUUGCCGUCAUUGGCACCUACAUUAGUACGUUACAUUUGUUACCAUUAAUAAUAGUAACACUAGAGUCCAUUCUCUAUUCAGAUUCCUUGGUUUUUACCUAACAUUCUUUUUCUGUUUCACGAGCCUGCCCAGAACACAACUUUGUAUUUCGUUAAUGAUUUAUAUACUCUAGGUGGCCCAGAAUCCAGUCCUGGCUUGUAGUGUGUCUAUGGGCGUAUCUGUGUUAAAAGUAGUUACUCUUUCUAAGAGUCUCUGUUGAUCAUUCCCAGUAAAGCAUGCAUCGCCUCAUACUGGGAGACUAAUGUUACCUCCAUCUCAGAGCUCAGCCACUUUAUCUGAGCAAAACCCAGGCAAAACCUUGCACAGAAAUUGAAAAAAAAUAGCCCAGAACAGUUGCAGUGAACAACAGAAUGCCAACCACAUUAUGCGCAUGGCUUCCAGCAUUACUUCUCUCAUUCAUACUUAUUUGUAUUGUACACACAUUUCUUCUUCUUCUUCUUCUUUUUUUUUUUUUUUUUUUUGCUUUCUUUAGGACCGCAUCUGUGGCACAGGGAGGUUCCCAGGCUAGGGGUCCAAUCGGAGCUACAACUGCCAGCCUACACCACAGCCGUAGCAACACAGAAUCUGAGCCGCGUCUGCGACCUACACCACAGCCCAAGGCAAGGCCGGAUCCUUAACCCACUGAGCGAGGCCAGGGAUCGAACCCACAUCCUCACGGACACUAGUCGGGUUCGUUUCCGCUGAACCACCACAGGAACUCCCUUUACACACAUUUCUAACCACCUUGGUACCAUGUAGAAUAUUUUGAGGGCUCAGCUUUCAGAAUGAAUCUCUCCCCAUAAAUAGCUGAGGGUUAUUUGAAAUUCUAGAGUAAAUCUCAAGUCUGACAACCCAGAAGAUAGUGUGAAUAAAAGUAUUCUUUUAAUUUUAGUAACUUUUGAAUUGAGAGUAAUGAUAAUAAAGAGGCCUAUGAUGAGGAUAAUAGCAGUGUACAUAUAUGCAAAGACAUAGCACAGCUCAGUGUCUAACUCUGGGUCAUGCUGAUCCUCAGGAACUUUUCUAGAACUUUUCUGUGGAAUGUGUGGAUGAACUGUAAGUCAUCUGUUUAAAGCUAAGCGUAAUCAAAUAACUCAAGAGCUGUGACUUACUCUUGCACCUGAGAGGCAAUCCUGCCUGGGAAGGAAAGCCACAGGCUGUGGAUUCUGGCAGGUGCUGGGUCAGGACUGUGGCCUGGGGCAGGACAGGUGGCCAUCCUCAGCUCAUCCAGCCUCUCAACCCAUACCCAUCUAAGUGCCAGCCAGCCCGUGUUGACACUAAGAGUACAAACUGAACAGAUGAGGUGGAGGCCCAUCUUGUGGAGCUUACAUUCUCUUCUCUCAGGUAUUGAAAAUCUUAUUUACAUUACAAAAAAGAUAACUCUGGGAGUUCCCGUCAUGGCACAGGAUCAAACCCGAAACCUCAUGGUUCCUAGUCAGAUUCAUUUCCUCUGCGCCACGAUAGGAACUCUAGCAUCUGUUUAAGUCUUUAUUUGGAAAAAAAACAGCUAAGUGGGUUAUAGUGAAUUUUCCUUACAAACAAACAUCCAUGCAUCACGUGCCUCCCAGAGUCUGUCUAAUGCAUGUAAAAAAUACUCAUUAUUUCCAGGCCCUCAUUGGGAAAAGGGGACAGCAUCCCCAUGAUGAAGAGACUGAAGAACGUAAUUCACAAGCCUCAAAAGUGAGGGCCCUGAAUUGUCUCUCUAGAACUGGCAGCAUAGCAGGCCUUCAGCCCAGCCCCUUCUGUGCCAGCCUCCUCUUCUUCGUGUGACUCCUAUUGCCAUGGGUUCUAGACAUGCAUCAGUCUCAUCCUGGCUGCAUGUUAGACUCUCUAGGGAGCUUCUCAGCAGUGACCUGGCUCAUGCCCAGAUGGACUGAUGUAAUUCAUCUGGGGUGGGCCCAGACAUCAGUGGUUUUCUAGAGUUAGGUUUAUCGAGAUGUAAUUUACUCGUUGUAGAGUUUACCCUUUCUUUGGGUACAGUUCUUUGAGUUUGAUACACACAUACAGUCAUGCAGCCAACACUACAAUCAAAACAGACUGUAUCACCCCCCAAAUUUCAGUAUGUCCUUUUCAGAAAGCCUUUACAAUGUUGUGUUAAUUUCUGUUGUACAGCAAAUCAUUCAGUCAUACAUAUAUAUACACACUCUUUUUAAAAAUAUUCUUUUCCAUUACAGUUUAUCAUAGGACAUUGAAUAUAGUUCUCUGUGUUAUACAGUAGGACCUUGUUUUUUAAAGGCAGAUGAUUCUAGUGUGCAGCCAGGGCUGAGAAUCAUGGGCAGCAGGGCUGCCUAGCAGCCUUUAAUAAAUCUCAGGUACACAGGAGAGGAAAUCUGAGCUGUUCUGUUAAUACAUUCAGGGAAUCCAUCAGUUUAUCUCAUACUUAUGCUUCCUUUAUUAGCUGAGAGAAGACCAGUCUAUUGCUUGCAGUUUGCUGUGGUUGGUUGUUUGUUGUAGUAGUGAUUUGAGGAGAGAAGGGCAUGCAGUGAUUGGGAGGCUCUGAGACAUUGCUUGGGGCAGGGCAGACCCCCUCUUGGUGGGCAGUGGGAGGUCACCACUUACAUACGCAGCCUUAUCUAGAUGUCUGCACUGUUCUUAGCAUCGUGGACACUAAUGGUGAGCUAAAGAUACAGUGCUCCUGCUCAAUUGGGGCUACUGCAAAUGUGUGUCGAAUUAGCAGGGAACAAAUAAUACCUGUACAAAGAAGAAAAUAUCCUGCAAUAGAAAAAUGUUAUGCACUGAGUCAGGGUGAUAUGGCAGAGCAGCAGAGGCUACUUUAGGUUGCGUGGCCCAGGAGGCCCUCUCUGAAGAGAUCACAUUUACGCUGAGACCUUUAUGUCUUGAGAAAAGUAGCCAAGUGGAAUUAAGGAAUAUUCCAUCCAAGUGCAAAGGCCUUUCGGUUGUAACUAAGGUUUGCCAGUGUUAAAAGAGAAGGAAGGCUUCUGCUUCUGGAGGGAUAGGGAAGCGGAGAGUGGGGGUGAUGAGGUGGGGGAGGAGGGCAGGGGUCAGAGCUCCUGGGACUUUGGAAAAUGACAUCUAGGUAGGUUUUGUUCCAAGUGUGAUAGGCAUGUGGUUUGAAGCAAGGAAAAACAGGUUCUGAUACUUUUUAAAGAAAAUUUUAUUAAGGUUGAUUUAUAAUGUUCUGUCAAUUUCUACCACACAGCAAAGUGACCCAUUUAUACAUAUAUAUGCGUUCUUUUUCUCAUGUUGUCUUCCAUCAUGUUCCAUCACGAGUGAUUGGAUAUAGUUCCCUGUGCUGUACAGCAGGAUCUCACUGCUUAUCCACUCCAAAUGCAAAACUGGGCAUUUCCUAACCCCAAACUCCCAGUCCAUCCCACUCCCUCUCCCUCCCCCUUGGCAACCGCAAGUCUAUUCUCCAAAUCCAUGAGUUUGUUUCUUUUCUGUAGAAAGAUUCAUUUAUGCCAUAUAUUAGAUUCCAGAUAUAAGUGAUAUCAUAUUGUAUUUGUCUUUCUCUUUCUGACUUAACUUCACUUAGUAUGAGAAUCUCUAGUUCCAUUCAUGAUGCUGCAAAUGGCAUUAUUUUGUUCUUUUCAUGGCUGAGUAAUAUUCCAUUGGGUGCUGUGUGGAGAAUGGGUUGUAGCAGGUAGAUGGAUGGAAUGAGGAAGACCAGCUAAGAGGCUGGUGAAAAGACAGUGGCUUCCUUACCCUGUGGGGAUGGAGAUCAGUGGACCCAUUCAGGUCAACUUUUAGAGGCUGGCUUUUGAGAGGGGCUCCUCUGGACUUUCAGUGCACUGGGUGUGGGAAAUGAGAGAAAGAGAAGAAGCAGGAAUGUCUCAAGUUUUGGAAGUGAACUUCUGAUGACUUGUGGUAUAUUUCGCCUUGUCUCUCUAUAUACAAUCUGCAUCUUUUUUGUACAUGUCACCAAUCACUACCUGUAAUUACAGCUUGCUGGGCCCAAAGAUGUUAAGCCAUAACCCCAAUAUCCACAACAUGGCAACUGAGCAGCUCUGCCUGGGCUGCAGAUUAACCCAAUGAAGGAAGAAAUCAGGCUGCGACUAAGAGAAAUCAGUGCUUAGUGGUGGGAAUAGGGUUAAUAUGGAAACUUGUGAUUAAUUACUAUAAUACUUACCCCCAAAAAGCUCAGUUUUACAAAAAAACCUGGCUCUGACUAUGCUUUAACAGUGGUAAAAUAAGAUAAAAUAGGAAACUACAAGUUUCAGCGAAUGUAUAACUCUCUUGAACAAAAAAGAAAUGUGGAGAAUACAUGAAAGCAGUUAUGUAUGUUGUGAAACAUAAAUCAUGAAUCUCUUUAUUUUGGAAAAUGUAAUUAGCUGCAGGUGUUUCAUCAGGAUAGAAAACCGAAUCAAGGACACCGAGGACCCCUUUGGGGUAACAGACUACAGUUCAGUUCAGGAUGUGUACCUGAGUAGGUGUCUGCUCUUACUAUUUCUGUGUUCUUGUGGCCAAGGUCACCACUGUACAUAGCUAAAUACUCAUUUUUACUCUCCUUUCCCUGGCCAGUAUUUCAGGUGUUGUGGCUUUGUUUUGUUAGCUGCAUUUAAAAAAAAAUUAUGUCAAAAACUUGGCCUUUUUGUCUCCUUAGCAGUGCUUUUCAAACAGUGCCUCCAUCCUACUUCCCACUCCUUUCCCCUGGCUGAUAAUUUCUGGGAGAAAUUGGACAGAGGAGAAAGUAUAUAAAUUUAUAUGCAUGCACACAAUCAAAUCUUAGAAACGCAUGCGUCCUCUCAAAGCAUGAAAUAAAAACCUUCUUCUACCACCCACCCGUCCCCCAGCCCCACCACUUCCCUUUGCCACACACAGACUUUUCCUGUUCUUGUGGUAACUCAGAAGCCCACUGUAGAUUAGAAAAGUGGGCAAAGACCUUCCUGAUUGAAAUAUAUCAGGUGUAUUUCGGGGGGGGGGGCAUGGCCUGUGGUCUGUCCAUGAUGAAUAAGGCUUCAUGUGUUCAAGCUUAUGGCUAGAAAAUGACAAAUGGCAACAUUAAUAUUCUCAUUGUUCCUUUCCUCUGAGGACGUUAUAGGGACAGCCAAGGUCGUGCAACCAUGUAACCUGAAUGUUGUUUCUCCUUAUUUCCUCUCCUAUGCAGACUGGUGACAUGACCUAUAAUAUAUGCUCCACUCUCCUCUGGUCUGCCAAACUCCCUAUCCCCAAAUAGCUUUUAGGCCUAUAUAGAAUCAUAAUGAUACAAGAAGAAUGGAGGAACAGCAUUUAUUUCUUAGACCCCUCGUUUCUGACUGAUGUUGUGGGCAAUAGAAUGUCCUACUCCUCCUUCUCUGGCAGAGAAAUACACCAAGUGGUGGCAACAUGGUGUGAGAAACAUACACCCCUUCAAGUCUGUGACUGGCUUUUUUUGUUCCAGGGCCCAUUAUCACUGGAGUCAUACCCUGGGGAGGAGGAGGGAUUGGCCAUUCCUAUCACUUCAGGCACAUACUAAUCACAGCCAGGUGCUCUGGUGUUUAUUUUGCUAUUUCUGUGUCAGUUACGUUUGUGUCAUAGUGACACUGAGUCCUUUCCAUGUAGAUUCCCUUCUGCUCUCCCCCAAUACGCACAGACACAAACACACAGACACACAGACACACACACACACGCUUCCAUGAUCACAGGAAGCUCUUCUGGACAGCACGAUAAUGUAACACCUUUCCAAAGUAAAAUGAAAAAAAUUGUCAUUGCAUUUUUUAAAUUAUUUUAGAUUGGAGCCUACAUUUUAUCUUAAAUCAGCAUUUGGUUGAUCAGAUAAAAAGAAGAGCUAAAUGCCAGUCAACAAAUAAUACAACCAAGAACUUCAUUUAUCCACGUAAAUCAUGUGGAUUGUAACUGUUGACUCUCGAGGGUCAGGGAGAAGAAUUAGGCACAGGUUUAAUUAGAACCAACUGGAAUCAAUCUAAAAAGGGGAACUUUUCUACAAGGAGAACACACAGUGAGCCCCAAAUCGUUUCUACCUUCCCAGUUCUGUGUUGAUGACAUUGCGUGAUCCUUUGUGCUCUGUACUGCUUACUUCUGAUGCAUCUUUAGCUUUGAAGGUCAACACUGCCCUUAAAGCAUUUCAGUUCCCCUCCUUUCUUGGUUUGGAUUAAGUAAAAGUGAUGCAUGAAGAAACCUUUCUCCAAUUUUAUCGGGAAAAGGGGCCAAGACACAGAUUUUUAAAUGCUCUGCCCUCCCACGUCAGCUGGACCCAGAGUGCAGUCUCAGUGCAGGGAGUCCCUGAGUGUAGACACAGUCCGUAUCUCUUCUCUUACCCACCCCGUAUGGACAGGGUGCUUAGGAGGCUUCUGGAAGGAUGGAGGGAAGGUGGCUCUUAUUAUUGAAAGAGCAUGAGCAUUUUGAAACAAAACAAGCUAUUUUACCUCAGACCAUGGCAGGUCAUAAAUCUGUCCAUCUUACCCCUUGGUAAGCAUGUGAAAUAAAGGGCCAUCCAUUGUGAGCCUGUGUAUGCCCAGGUGAGUGUCCUUGCAAACUAAGUCACAUUUGUUUACAGCAGCAGUGACUCGUGUCACUAAACAUCAGCCAGAGUUUUUCUAACCCUUUGAAGGAAAAAAAAAA